AUUGAACGCUGGCGGCAGGCCUAACACAUGCAAGUCGAGCGGUAGAGAGAAGCUUGCUUCUCUUGAGAGCGGCGGACGGGUGAGUAAUGCCUAGGAAUCUGCCUGGUAGUGGGGGAUAACGUUCGGAAACGGACGCUAAUACCGCAUACGUCCUACGGGAGAAAGCAGGGGACCUUCGGGCCUUGCGCUAUCAGAUGAGCCUAGGUCGGAUUAGCUAGUUGGUGAGGUAAUGGCUCACCAAGGCUACGAUCCGUAACUGGUCUGAGAGGAUGAUCAGUCACACUGGAACUGAGACACGGUCCAGACUCCUACGGGAGGCAGCAAUGGGGAAUAUUGGACAAUGGGCGAAAGCCUGAUCCAGCCAUGCCGCGUGUGUGAAGAAGGUCUUCGGAUUGUAAAGCACUUUAAGUUGGGAGGAAGGGCAGUAAGUUAAUACCUUGCUGUUUUGACGUUACCAACAGAAUAAGCACCGGCUAACUUCGUGCCAGCAGCCGCAGUAAGAC
rnacentral:rRNA from 1 species